rnacentral:rRNA from 1 species
UACAGAGGGUGCAAGCGUUAAUCGGAAUUACUGGGCGUAAAGCGUGCGUAGACGGCUAUUUAAGUCGGGUGUGAAAGCCCCGGGCUCAACCUGGGAAUUGCAUUCGAGACUGAAUAGCUAGGGUGCGGAAGAGGGAAGCGGAAUUUCCGGUGUAGCGGUGAAAUGCGUAGAUAUCGGAAGGAACAUCAGUGGCGAAAGCGACUUCCUGGACCAGUACCGACGUUCAGGCACGAAAGCGUGGGGAGCAAACAGG